rnacentral:rRNA from 1 species
GAAUUUUAUAUAUAGCUUAUUUUAGUAUAUUAGUUUCUGUUAAAUUAGGUUAUAUAUUUUAUUGGGAGGAUAGUUAAAUAAUAAAAACUUUAAUUAUAUAUUACAUUGAUGUAUGAAAGAUUAAUGAUUAAUGUUUAUUAAGUUAGAAUUAAUUACCUUAGGGAUAACAGCGUAAUAUUUUUAGAGAGAUCAUAUUAAUAAAAAUGUUUGC